rnacentral:rRNA from 1 species
GACGAACGCUGGCGGCGUGCUUAACACAUGCAAGUCGAACGGAAAGGCCCUGCUUUUGUGGGGUGCUCGAGUGGCGAACGGGUGAGUAACACGUGAGUAACCUGCCCUUGACUUUGGGAUAACUUCAGGAGACUGGGGCUAAUACCGGAUAGGAGCUCCUGCUGCAUGGUGGGGGUUGGAAAGUUUCGGCGGUUGGGGAUGGACUCGCGGCUUAUCAGCUUGUUGGUGGGGUAGUGGCUUACCAAGGCUUUGACGGGUAGCCGGCCUGAGAGGGUGACCGGCCACAUUGGGACUGAGAUACGGCCCAGACUCCUACGGGAGGCAGCAGUGGGGAAUAUUGCACAAUGGGCGGAAGCCUGAUGCAGCAACGCCGCGUGCGGGAUGACGGCCUUCGGGGUGUAAACCGUGUUCGCCUGUGACGAAGCGUGAGUGACGGUAAUGGGUAAAGAAGCACCGGCUAACUACGUG